rnacentral:rRNA from 1 species
AUUUAAAGAAAGCGUAAUAGCUCACUGGUCGAGUCGGCCUGCGCGGAAGAUGUAACGGGGCUAAACCAUGCACCGAAGCUGCGGCAGCGAACGUAUCACUUAAAGCGAUUCAGCGGGUUACGAUUGACGGAGCGAAGCGACGUCAAAGCGUAUACAAAGUCGAGUCGGUUUAAGGAUACGUUCGUUGGGUAGGGGAGCGUUCUGUAAGCCCGUGAAGGUGGCCUGUGAGGGUUGCUGGAGGUAUCAGAAGUGCGAAUGCUGACAUAAGUAACGAUAAAGCGGGUGAAAAGCCCGCUCGCCGGAAGACCAA